UACGUAGGGUGCAAGCGUUAAUCGGAAUUACUGGGCGUAAAGCGUGCGCAGGCGGUUUUGUAAGUCUGUCGUGAAAUCCCCGGGCUCAACCUGGGAAUUGCGAUGGAGACUGCAAGGCUAGAAUCUGGCAGAGGGGGGUAGAAUUCCACGUGUAGCAGUGAAAUGCGUAGAGAUGUGGAGGAACACCGAUGGCGAAGGCAGCCCCCUGGGUCAAGAUUGACGCUCAUGCACGAAAGGCGUGGGGAGCAAACGAGGAUUACGAAACCCC
rnacentral:rRNA from 1 species